AUGCAAGUCGAGCGGAGUCGGUAAGAGGAAGUUUCGGAUGGAAUCUUAUUGAUUUAGCGGCGGACGGGUGAGUAACGCGUGAGCGACCAACCUUGCACAGGGGAUAACGGACCGAAGGUUCACUAAUACCGCAUGAGACCACGGUGUUGCAUGACACAGAGGUCAAAGGAGCAAUCCGGUGCAAGACGGGCUCGCGUCCGAUUAGGUAGUUGGAGGGUAACGGCCCACCAAGCCUAUGAUCGGUAGCCGACCUGAGAGGUGAUCGGCCACAUUGGAACUGAGAUACGGUCCAAACUCCGUACGGGAGGCAGCAGUGGGGAAUAUUGGGCUAAAAUGGGAGAAACCCUGACCCAGCAACGCCGCGUGAAGGAAGAAGGUUUUCGGAUUGUAAACUUCUGUCCUUGGUGAAGAGAAGAAGACGGUAGCCAAGGAGGAAGCCCCGGCUAACUACGUGCCAGCCGCGGC
rnacentral:rRNA from 1 species